GAACGCUAGCGGCAGGCCUAAUACAUGCAAGUCGAGGGGUAGAGUUGGAGCAAUCUGACUUGAGACCGGCGCACGGGUGCGUAACACGUAUGCAACCUACCUUUUACUGGGGUAUAGCUCAGAGAAAUCUGAAUUAAUCCCCCAUAACAUUGCGAGAUGGCAUCAUUUUGCAAUUAAAGCUGCGGCGGUAAAAGAUGGGCAUGCGUUGUAUUAGCUAGUUGGUGAGGUAACGGCUCACCAAGGCUACGAUACAUAGGGGUUCUGAGAGGAUGAUCCCCCACACUGGUACUGAGACACGGACCAGACUCCUACGGGAGGCAGCAGUAGGGAAUAUUGGUCAAUGGACGCAAGUCUGAACCAGCCAUGCCGCGUGCAGGAAGACGGCCCUCUGGGUUGUAAACUGCUUUUAUAUGGGAAGAAACCCCGGGAUGCGUUCCGGGCUGACGGCACCAUAUGAAUAAGGAUCGGCUAACUUCGUGCCAGCAGCCGCGGUAAGACGAAGGAUCCAAGCGUUGUCCGGAUUUACUGGGUUUAAAGGGUGCGUAGGCGGAAGAUUAAGUCAGUGGUGAAAGCCCGCAGCUCAACUGCGGAACUGCCAUUGAAACUGAUUUUCUUGAAUACGGUUGAGGUAGAUGGAAUAUAACAUGUAGCGGUGAAAUGCUUAGAUAUGUUAUAGAACACCAAUUGCGAAGGCAGUCUACUAAGCCGUGAUUGACGCUGAGGCACGAAAGCGUGGGGAGCGAACAGGAUUAGAUACCCUGGUAGUCCACGCUGUAAACGUUGAUUACUCGCUGUUGGCAAUACACUGUCAGCGGCUAAGCGAAAGCGUUAAGUAAUCCACCUGGGAAGUACGACCGCAAGGUUGAAACUACAAAGGAAUUG
rnacentral:rRNA from 1 species